UUUAAAUCUCUUAAAGCUAAAACAAAAUCUUGGCCUCUAGCACAGUGCUGCGCUCAUCAGCUGUCUCCCAUUUCCCCGGGCUAGGACUGCUACCCAAGAGAUCGCUGCCUGGGAUGUUCUGUCCUAUCCGAGGAGGCUUCUUCAUCCUUCAGCUCCAUGAUGAACUCCUGUAUGAAGUGGCAGAAGAUGAUGUUGUUCAGGUAGCUCAGAUCGUCAAGAAUGAAAUGGAAAAUGCCAUAAAACUUUCUGUGAAACUCAAAGUGAAAGUGAAAAUAGGUUCGAGCUGGGGAGACCUGAAGGACUUUGAUGUGUGAGUGCGGAUUCGCUCAGGUCCUCUCCCACGUUCCUACCCAAAAAGAACAUUUCUGCUUCACCUGCAUCUUGAAAACAAACGCUCAGUUAUGCACAAAUUCCAGCACUAUGAUGAAACUGUCUACAUGAGUUCUCCAACACAAUUCAAAUUUCAGCUACC